rnacentral:rRNA from 1 species
GCCUGCCCAGUGACUACGGGUUCAACGGCCGCGGUAUUUUGACCGUGCAAAGGUAGCGCAAUCACUUGUCUCUUAAAUAGAGACCUGUAUGAAUGGCUAGACGAGGGCUUAACUGUCUCCCCCUUCCAGUCAGUGAAAUUGAUCUAUCCGUGCAGAAGCGGGUAUAAUUAUACAAGACGAGAAGACCCUUUGGAGCUUAAGGUACAAAAUUCAACCACGUUAAACGACUCUACAUGAAGCAAGAACUUAGUGGCGAAUGAAAUUUUACCUUCGGUUGGGGCGACCACGGAGGAGAAAGAAGCCUCCGAGUGGACUGGGCUAAUCCCCAAAGCCAAGAGAUACAUCUAUAAGCCGCAGAACAUCUGACCAAGAAUGAUCCGACUGAUAAAGCCGAUCAACGAACCAAGUUACCCUAGGGAUAACAGCGCAAUCCUCUCCCAGAGUCCAUAUCGACGAGGGGGUUUACGACCUCGAUGUUGGAUCAGGACAUCCUAAUGGUGCAGCCGCUAU